UACGAAGGUCCCAAGCGUUAUCCGGAUUUAUUGGGUUUAAAGGGUGCGUAGGCGGACUAUUAAGUCAGUGGUGAAAGCCCCAGCUUAACUUGGGAACUGCCAUUGAUACUGAUGGUCUUGAGUACAUUUGAGGUGGGCGGAAUGUGUCAUGUAGCGGUGAAAUGCUUAGAUAUGACACAGAACACCGAUUGCGAAGGCAGCUCACUAA
rnacentral:rRNA from 1 species